rnacentral:misc_RNA from 1 species
UGUUCGAGCCGCGAAAUUAGUUAUGCACGUGAUUGACAACGUGUUCCUCCUAUUAAAAAACAAGUUUUUUCCCUUUUUUCCAACCUUUCACUAAUGUUGGUUAUUCUGUCUGGUUUGAUCGAUUAAAAUCUUGAUUUUGUUUAUCAUUUGACUCGCCCUAAAACGUGUGUUGGCUGUCAUGAGUGUGUCUGUUGAACAUUGUCUCGAAACCAGUUUUAAUUGAGUGACAAACAAGGCAAUAGUUUCGUCUCUAAUAAACCAGUUACAGCAAAUAUGACGACUCUACAGGAAAUAUUCGAAAUUCUUAAAGAUCUCAAGCAAAACUUGAUAACUGUUCAUGGACCCAAUCCAGUUUUCCCACACCCAAACAAGGAGGAAACCCUGGCCCGAAUAGAGGAUUACAUUAUCCUUGUUGUGGCAGCCAUAAGUCGAGGGGAUUGGCCGUUGCAGUUGCCGAUUCACGGCAGUGACGAGAUGAUGACCUGGAAAUUGGCCAAACAACGACGUAAAUGCUUGCUUCUAUUCCACCUACUAGCCAAGUCCCAUGCACUUUUGCGAACCAACACCACAUCCACCAAACGGGAUAUCUACUACGAAGACGUCUCGUUAUGGGGGAGCCAACCGGUACUGGACAGCAUGGUAACCCAGAUGACAAAACUGCUGAAUAUUCCUCGAUGCUGUCUCAAUAUUGGUGCCACUUCUAAAGGAUUGGUGGCAGGUUCUCUCAACUUUCUCGAUGGCGAUGGCAAGCUCAUUGAUUGCCAAACACCAACUGGGAUUUUGAUACCAAACGAUGUCGAAAAACUUUCUCAAUUCCGGUCCAAAGCUCACCUCGUUUUGGUGGUGGAAAAAGACAGUACGUUCCAGAAACUGAUUGACGAUAAGAUCGAACGCUUCAUCGGUGACUGCAUCCUCAUUACGGGAAAAGGUUAUCCGGACGUCAACACUCGCCGCUUCUUGCGUCGCUUGUGGGAUGAGCUGCAACUUCCCCCUUUGGCGUUAGUGGAUGCAGAUCCUCACGGCAUCUCCAUUCUCGCUGUGUAUCGAUUCGGAAGUCAAAAUUUGGAAGACAUUGAACACUUGUCCACGCCUCAACUGAGAUAUAUCGGUCUUCAGCCAAGCGAUAUUGAAGCUUUGCAGAUUCCCGACGAGGCCAAAUUGCCACUAACCCAACGCGAUCGAUCCCUUGUCGACACCCUGGCCAGCCGUCCCUUUAUAACUCAAAAUCAACUUCUCCACGAUCAGCACGCUAGGAAUAACCCAGCAAAUAACUCAGAUCUGAGUGCUGCUGCAUGUUGCAUGGAAAUGAGGUGAUAGACUCUUGUGCGAACGGGAGCACUUUUGCGGCGCUGGCUGGAAAAGCGCAAGGAUUUCCAGGAGGAUACCAUUUGAAGAGGGUGGUGGUGGGGAGAGAGAGGUAGGAGCGACGCUUGCGCAUUUGCCCGGUCAAAAGGAAGUGUAACGCAAAAAGAAGCGGCCAACUCCCGAAGAACCCCCUCUGUGUACUACGCGACGGGACCUCUAUAAACAGCCCUCGUUUGUCGGCUUCCAGUCGAGAGAGGAAGCUGAGCGCCAUGCAGCACUACCAUGACAUCUCCUCCGACAUUCUCGGCCGUUACUCUCAGAGCCCACGCAAAAGCGACAGUGUCUGUCACGCCGAGUGCGCCGAGUCAUCAAAAUCCAAUAGGCCACAGCAUCCGUUGGCGAGGAAAUCCGCAGGAUCAACAAGUGCCAACCGCUUCGCUGCUGGACACACGGGAGUCGCGCCGCCCUUUCUUUUUUGAAUUGUUGCUUCGCAUGUCGCCGGAAUAAAAAAGAAGAAGAAGAGGCGACUGUCUUGUUCAAUUCCCAUCUUUGAGCAACCGGUUAUAUACAUCUCCGUGUGCUGCGCCAGUGUGUGUGUGUGUAUUUUGGAUCGUGUGUGGAAAGUGUGAGCUCCUAGUCUCAACUUGACGCUCAAUAGUUUGUGGAUCUUCACACGCUCUCCCAUGAGUGCCUCGGGGAAGAGCCAUUCUAUAAGCGGCUAGUGAACAAAAAGGAAAAAAAAAGUUUCAGCAACUCUUUAUCUUCUUCUCUUGUCGAUCCCAGGCGGCAUUUUUUCAAAAAAAUUCAAACCGGAUAAUACGCACAAAGGCGUGAAGGAAAAACAGGAGCGGAAACAAUUUGGUCGAUCCCGGUGGAUCGGGUUUGGAUGAAAAACGUUUUGCGGAAGGAGGAAGUUUGAAGUUAUGAAUCAACUGCGUCAUGGAUGAUCAAGGCGGCACUAUUCAAAUUGUCGUGACGCCCAAUUGUCCGGCGACGGAGAGUUUGCUGGACGGCGGUCAAGAGAAUGCGGACCCUAAUCAAGAAAGUUCGCCGUGCUUACUGGAUCCGACCGCCACUGCGGCUGUAUCAACCGACUGCAGCCGAUCCGUCAUCAGCCACGGGUCCAGCAACAUCAGUUACCAGCAGCGACAACGCCGGGCUCAGUGGAAAGGCAUCGGAACCACUUGCAUGUGGAACGCCUUUCGGGCCAGCUUCUUUGGUCUCCUUUUGCUGGUCUCCGGAUGCAUCGUCGUCCUUGUCGGAUUCUACUCGGAGUUUCCUUCGAUCGAAAUCGCCGUCAACUUUAACCAAACCGUUUCCUUGGUCGAUCCAGAGUCGCAGAAACGUCGAGUCAAGUCCUCCUAUUCCUACAUUGGACCUGUUCUCAUCGGAAUCGGCGUUUUCGUGCUGAUUGGUGUGGGCGUGGCCACGAUGGAGAUGCGAGACAUGACAGCCAAAGUGUUCCCGCUGACGAAACGGCCCUACAAGAAAACCAAGUUGACUUCGGAGGCGCUCGGCACCAUGUUCCAAACUCCAACGCAGCGGAUCAUGAAAGAAAUGAGCGCCAAAGAUAAACGACCGGAACGUCAAACGAGCUUCCGCACUGUUGCAACGCAGACAUUUCGAACUCGCCUGUGGCCUUGGUCAAGGCUCAGGCCGUCGUCGGGUCGUUUCGUGUUUCACGGCAGAAUUGUUUUGAGGUCCUGCCAUCAACUUUCCACGCCCAAAAGCCAACAGAGUGUCAUCCUUCCACAGACUUCCAUCUGCAAACGUGGGCGUCGAUCCCGCUGUCGGCGUCGACGAAUGUUGCUGAUCCACUCCAUGGCGGCCGACUCGCUGUCCGCUUCUUGUCCCCAGCUCGACACUGUUAGCUAAUCAGAGUAAUCACUCUGUGCUGGACUGGAAUGGACUAUACUAAUUGUUGUUGUUGCUGCUACUACUGCCCGUCUGUUCCUGCUGCUCUUGUUUGUUGACUGUCGCCAUUAUAGCUCAAUAUCAGCCUGUCCAGACAUUUUUGGACGGUCAGCGCGUCUCUUUUAGCCUACGCCAUUCCUCUCGCAUAACUAUAAAGACUGGGCUAUAGACUUAUACUACGUACAUUGGAUCUCCAUCGCUUUUUUUAUGUCUUUCCUAUAUAAGAAUAGCUGAUGAUGCCGAGAUGUUCCAGGAAUAGAGAGCGCGACUCUCAUUCCAAAUUUGAUUUAUAUUUUUUAAUCAAGAGAAAGCUCCUCGGUGACGACCUCUCCCUCGCCGCCGGACGACAAUGCAAAUAAACAAAAGUCAACAGAAGCUGAAGAACAAAAGGAAAAUUUGUCGGACAGCAAAUUUUUUUUCUCUCCCCCCACAAGCGCAAGUGAACUGGACUUAAUAAAAGACUUGAGCCAAAAGAGUACAGCAUUCCUCACGUGCUGGCUCAGCGCCUUUCGACUCCGCCAUAUUUUUGUUUACUUUUUUUUUACAAAACCGGCAAAAUGUUUCUUCUUGUAGAAUCUAGACGGAAUUUUAUUUUGUAAACAGCCAAAAUCUGGCUUAACGUCGUGGUACGUAUCAUGGUCGAUCAAUAAACUGGGAUUGACGGACGGAA